UACGUAGGGUGCGAGCGUUAAUCGGAAUUACUGGGCGUAAAGCGUGCGCAGGCGGCGCGUUAAGACAGGUGUGAAAGCCCCGAGCUUAACUUGGGAAUUGCGCUUGUGACUGGCGUGCUGGAGUGUGGCAGAGGGAGGUGGAAUUCCACGUGUAGCAGUGAAAUGCGUAGAGAUGUGGAGGAACACCGAUGGCGAAGGCAGCCUCCUGGACCAACACUGACGCUGAGGAGCGAAAGCCAGGGGAGCAAACGGG
rnacentral:rRNA from 1 species